GGCUUCGUAGCUCAGUUGGUGAGAGCGUUUGGCUGUUAACCAAAAGGUCGAUGGUUCAAGUCCGUCCGAAGCCG
rnacentral:tRNA from 1 species